UGCCAGCCGCCGCGGUAACACGGGGGGCGCAAGCGUUAUUCGGAAUUAUUGGGCGUAAAGGGCGCGCAGGCGGUCUUGUCCGUCAGGUGUGAAAGCUCGGGGCUCAACCCCGGAACUGCCUCUAAUACUGCUAGUCUUGAGUUCGAGAGAGGUGAGUGGAAUUCCGAGUGUAGAGGUGAAAUUCGUAGAUAUUCGGAGGAACACCAGUGGCGAAGGCGGCUCACUGGCUCGAUACUGACGCUCAUGUACGAAAGCGUGGGGAGCAAACAGGAUUAGAUA
rnacentral:rRNA from 1 species